GGAAAGAUGGCAGAGGAAGAGGCAAGAAAAAAGAUCCCUUUGGUUUCAGAAAAAUCUCCUGAAAAAGAGGAAGGCUUAUCAGGGCCUGAAAGCCACCCAGGCAGAGCAGGCGCUUUUGCAAAGGAAGGAGCAGAGGAGAGGAAAAGAGAUCAAGUUUAAGCGACUAGAAUGGUUCCUACAUGAUUCCUGGCGGCAACUACGUGAGAGGGUGCGACUCAGACGACUAGAAGUGAAACCUCAUGGCUUAGAAGUGCCAGAUAAACAUUCCUUGGCCUUUGUUGUACGCAUCGAAAGGAUUAAUGGGGUGAGUUUACUGGUGCAGAGGACCAUUGCAAGACUUCGCCUGAGUAAGAUUUUCAGUGGUGUCUUUAUGCAAGUAACCCCUCAAACCAUAAACACGCUUCGGAUAGUGGAAACUUACGUGACCUGGGGAUUUCCAAAUCUGAAGUCUGUUCGGGAGCUCAUCUUGAAACGUGGACAAGCCAAGGUCAAGAAUAAAAUCAUCCCUCUGACAGACAACACAGUGAUUGAGGAGCACCUGGGGAAGUUUGGUGUCAUUUGCUUGGAAGACCUCAUUCACGAAAUUGCCUUCCCGGGGAAGAAUUUUCAGGUGAUCUCAGGGUUCUUGCGCCCUUUCCAACUCUCAGUGGCCUGUCACGCUACCAAGAAUAGAGUGGGCUUCCUCAAGGAAGUGGGCUCACCUGGCUGUCAAGGUGAAUGCAUCAAUCCGCUCACCCAGCAGCUGAACUAAAACCAACGUAGCUGAAAGCACAGUGCAUGUGGAAGCAUGUGUUUUUGUUUUAUGGAAUUGUUAUCCAGUAUCUUCAAGGAAGAUUAUUUUCUGCUGUAUCUUCAGAAACUGGAGGGGAAGGGUCAGGGAAAAGAUGGUGAUGUUCAGGGCAGGCACUUUUCAUCCCACUUCAGUUCCAAGAAAACGUUCCUGUGUGUUUUCUGCAAAGACUGCAGUCCACCUCUAAAACCAGCGAAGGAUUCGUGCCAUGGAGGAGGGAGUCAUGUUUUAUCACACGUAUCCUGGGAUUUAAUGUUGGUGAACAAAUGAAUACCCACACAUGAAUACAAGACAGCAGUGGACCAGGCCCAGGGGCAUAUUGAACCUGGGGUAUCCAAAGGCCUUGUUUUGGAAAGAA